rnacentral:rRNA from 1 species
UACGUAGGGUGCAAGCGUUAAUCGGAAUUACUGGGCGCAAAGCGUGCGCAGGCGGUUAUGUAAGACAGAUGUGAAAUCCCCGGGCUCAACCUGGGAACUGCAUUUGUGACUGCAUAGCUAGAGUACGGUAGAGGGGGAUGGAAUUCCGCGUGUAGCAGUGAAAUGCGUAGAUAUGCGGAGGAACACCGAUGGCGAAGGCAAUCCCCUGGACCUGUACUGACGCUCAUGCACGAAAGCGUGGGGAGCAAACAGG